ensembl:lncRNA
CCUCUGUGAGCUCUAAAGGCUGUUGCACCUCACUUAGCAACUGUUGCUACCGAGAGACAACUUCCCUGAUGUGUCAACAAUGCUGUGCAGCGCUCCGACUACAACUCACAGAGAGCAUUGAAAGGGAAGGCUUAUUUCAAGGCCAGUGUGGGUUUUUUAAAUGAGCUGCAGCGGGUUAAGUGGCCAGCCCAGCGGCGGUGUGGGGAGCAGCUCGCAUCGACAGUGUGGUCGAGUGAAAGAAGGAGUUCAUGCUGUCCAGCAUGCGACGGUGCCUGUUCACAAAACCCCUGCUGCUCCCUGUUCCCAUUCAGCUGGGUCAACAUGUGCCUGUGAAUUCCUCCCAAAAGGGGAAUCAUAACAGCAUCAGCAGCCCCAGAAAUGACAAACAGCUCAAGUACGGAAAGGCAGCUGCCCAGUAUUCAACAGCGCUCACAUUGCACCAGAAAAAAAGUCAGAUAAGAAAAAUAAACCGAACACCGUCAUCGGGGGAUGAGAGGGAGAUCCCUGGGUGGCUUUGGCACCACAAGAGGGCAGAGAGCUCAAGGUCUGUCUUUGUCAAGCCCCCUGCUUUGUCGACUCCACCAUCACACAGCAGUGGAAUCAGAAGACCUGGCCGGCCAGUUGCAGCUUCCAGGAGAGGCCUUGAAACCCUCAGGCACUCAUCUGCUGAGGGAUUGAACUCGGGUCCUUCCGCCUGCAAGGCAGGCGGCGGAACCACUGAGCUAAAUCCCUGGCCCUGGCUCCCUAAUUCCUGCAAGCCCACGACGCGG